rnacentral:rRNA from 1 species
GUGAGGAAUAUUGGUCAAUGGGCGGAAGCCUGAACCAGCCAUGCCGCGUGAAGGAAUAAGGCCCUAUGGGUCGUAAACUUCUUUUGUGGUGGAGCAAUAAGACGUACGUGUACGUCGAUGAGAUUACAUCAUGAAUAAGCAUCGGCUAACUCCGUGCCAGCAGCCGCGGUAAUACGGAGGAUGCAAGCGUUAUCCGGAUUUAUUGGGUUUAAAGGGUGCGUAGGCUGUUUGACAAGUCAGUGGUGAAAGCCCGGGGCUUAACUCCGGAACUGCCGUUGAUACUGUUGAGCUGGAAUACGGAUGCCGUGGGAGGAAUGAGUAGUGUAGCGGUGAAAUGCAUAGAUAUUACUCAGAACACCGAUUGCGAAGGCAUCUCACGAAUCCGUCAUUGACGCUGAGGCACGAAAGCGUGGGGAUCAAACAGGAUUAGAAACCCUAGUAGUCC